UGGUGAUUUGAGCGGUGGGGAAAUACCCGGUCCCAUUCCGAACCCGGAAGUCAAGCCCACCAGCGCCGAUGGUACUGGCGGUACGCACCGCUGGGAGAGUAGGUCAUUGCCAG
rnacentral:rRNA from 1 species